rnacentral:rRNA from 1 species
UACGUAGGGGGCUAGCGUUGUCCGGAUUUAUUGGGCGUAAAGAGCGUGUAGGCGGCCAGGUAGGUCUGCUGUGAAAACUCGAGGCUCAACCUCGAGACGUCGGCGGAAACCAUCUGGCUAGAGUCCGGAAGAGGAGAGUGGAAUUCCUGGUGUAGCGGUGAAAUGCGCAGAUAUCAGGAAGAACACCUAUGGCGAAGGCGGCUCUCUGGGACGGUACUGACGCUGAGACGCGAAAGCGUGGGGAGCGAACAGG